GACGAACGCUGGCGGCGUGCUUAACACAUGCAAGUCGAACGGAAAGGCCCUGCUUUUGUGGGGUGCUCGAGUGGCGAACGGGUGAGUAACACGUGAGUAACCUGCCCUUGACUUUGGGAUAACUUCAGGAAACUGGGGCUAAUACCGGAUAGGAGCUCCUGCUGCAUGGUGGGGGUUGGAAAGUUUCGGCGGUUGGGGAUGGACUCGCGGCUUAUCAGCUUGUUGGUGGGGUAGUGGCUUACCAAGGCUUUGACGGGUAGCCGGCCUGAGAGGGUGACCGGCCACAUUGGGACUGAGAUACAGCCCAGACUACUACGGGAGGCAGCAGUGGGGAAGAUUGCACAAUGGGCGGAAGCCUGAUGCAGCAACGCCGCGUGCGGGAUGACGGCCUUCGGGUUGUAAACCGCUUUCGCCUGUGACGAAGCGUGAGUGACGGUAAUGGGUAAAGAAGCACCGGCUAGCUACGUG
rnacentral:rRNA from 1 species